AUUGAACGCUGGCGGCAUGCUUUACACAUGCAAGUCGAGCGGCAGCGCGGGGGGCAACCCUGGCGGCGAGCGGCGAACGGGUGAGUAAUGCAUCGGAACGUACCCUGGAGUGGGGGAUAACGCCGCGAAAGCGGCGCUAAUACCGCAUAUGCUCUGAGGAGGAAAGUGGGGGGACCGCAAGGCCUCACGCUCUGGGAGCGGCCGAUGUCCGAUUAGCUAGUUGGUGGGGUAAAGGCUUACCAAGGCGACGAUCGGUAGCUGGUCUGAGAGGAUGAUCAGCCACACUGGGACUGAGACACGGCCCAGACUCCUACGGGAGGCAGCAGUGGGGAAUUUUGGACAAUGGGGGCAACCCUGAUCCAGCCAUGCCGCGUGAGUGAAGAAGGCC
rnacentral:rRNA from 1 species